rnacentral:rRNA from 1 species
GACGAACCGUGCGAACGUUAUUCGGAAUCACUGGGCUUAAAGCGCGUGUAGGCGGGGCGGCACGUCGGUCGCUGAAAGCCCCCGGCUCAACCGGGGAACGGGCGCCGAUACGACCGCCCUCGAGGGACGUAGGGGGACCUGGAACUUCCGGUGGAGCGGUGAAAUGCGUUGAGAUCGGAAGGAACGCCCGUGGCGAAAGCGAGGUCCUGGACGUCUGCUGACGCUGAGACGCGAAAGCCAGGGGAGCCGAACGGGG